GUUAUGUGGUAGCAAUAAAAAUAAAUGGUGAUGGUUCACUUCUUCCUUACAGCCUCUGGCAGUAGCAGGUAUCAUUAAUUGACAUACCCUAUGCCUCUGUGGAGGUUCUUGAGGCUGAGCUUCAGGACAGAAACUCUACUAUCAAUUGCCCACAGAUGAUAAAAUGAAGUCCAAAGUGAUAAAAAUAAAAGUCAGAGUGAUAAAAGAUCAUUCAAGGUCACAACCUCAUGACGGAGACAGUCAUUUCUCAGUGGCCGGAGUAUCUUCUGUCCCUUUGUAACAAGGAGCUGCUUCUUUCAAGGCAUCCUCACCUCCUGAGGAACAGAUUUCAUCGAAUGAAUGGCUACCGCCCAAAGAUAUGGCAGCAAGAACAUCAAGUAAGGAAACCUUUCAAGACUCAUUCCACCUCCACUGAUGCCUUUAAUCUUGGCUGAGGCCUUGACACAUUGCCUCUUGGAUGAUCCUACUCCUUCAAUUCAAUCCUGCUUCACUCACUGCCUCACAGGUGUUACUUCUGAUGUUUUUCCAUAACAAAUUUCCUGCAUAGUUUCUCCUGCUGGGACUUGACUUUCGAGGGAAACUAUUAGAUCUUGUAUAUUAGAGGCAACGCGACAGUGGUGAACUGGGGAAGAUACCAGCAUGCAGAAAUGCACUGACAGGUGCAAUAUUUCACCAUUUCAGGUAUUUAUAAGAAUUUGUUGUGAGUCUACAGAUAAUAUUGUUAGGAGCUCCUGAUUCACCAAAUACAGUUUAAAAUGAUUAUUCACCAAUUUAAGACAGAAUGUGGCUAUAAAAGGAACUCUUUGGUGGCAAAUAAUGAUACUGUUAUCUCCUGAAGUUGCUUGGAAAAAAAAAAGGUGCGGAUCAAGCUCACUACUAAAUCAU
rnacentral:lncRNA from 1 species